rnacentral:rRNA from 1 species
UACGGAGGGUGCAAGCGUUAUCCGGAUUCACUGGGUUAAAGGGUGCGUAGGUGGGUCUGUAAGUCAGUGGUGAAAUCUCCGGGCUUAACCCGGAAACUGCCAUUGAUACUAUAGGUCUGAAUUUUCUGGAGGUUAGCGGAAUAUGUCAUGUAGCGGUGAAAUGCUUAGAUAUGAACAUAGAACACCAAUUGCGAAGGCAGCUAACUACAGG